rnacentral:rRNA from 1 species
GAUGAACGCUGGCGGCGUGCUUAACACAUGCCAGUCGAACGGGAAUUAUUUUAUUGAAACUUCGGUCGAUUUCAUUUAAUUCUAGUGGCGGACGGGUGAGUAACGCGUGGGUAACCUGCCUUAUACAGGGGGAUAACAGUCAGAAAUGGCUGCUAAUACCGCAUAAGCGCACAGAGCUGCAUGGCUCAGUGUGAAAAACUCCGGUGGUAUAAGAUGGACCCGCGUUGGAUUAGCUGGUUGGUGGGGUAACGGCCCACCAAGGCGACGAUCCAUAGCCGGCCUGAGAGGGUGAACGGCCACAUUGGGACUGAGACACGGCCCAGACUCCUACGGGAGGCAGCAGUGGGGAAUAUUGCACAAUGGGGGAAACCCUGAUGCAGCGACGCCGCGUGAAGGAAGAAGUAUCUCGGUAUGUAAACUUCUAUCAGCAGGGAAGAUAGUGACGGUACCUGACUAAGAAGCCCCGGCUAACUACGUG